rnacentral:sRNA from 12 species
CCUAUUACUGCGACUGGAAAUGUAGAUUGUGAACGCAUCGGUUCGUACAAAGUCAAACUUUGCGGUUAUAUACGGU